UCCUGGUCACAUUAGAAGAAGUAAAAGUUGUAACAAAGGUUUCGUAGGUGAACCUGCGGAAAGAUUAUUACUGAAUUGUUAACCAGAGUUGUUGGUGGUUCCUAUACGGGGGCAAGUGCACGCUUUGUUUACACAUUCACUCACACCUGUGCACCCUCUGUAGUUUUAUGGCCUGGGGGGCUCUGUUCUCCUGCUGUGGCUUUACGUCUUUACACACACACUGUAACAAAGUUUCAUGGAAAGUAAGUUGCGUUUAACGCAAUGAAAUACAACUUUCAGCAACGGAUCUCUUGGCUCUUGCAUCGAUGAAGAACGCAGCGAAAUGCGAUAAGUAAAGUGAAUUGCAGAAUUCAGUGAAUCAUCGAAUCUUUGAACGCACCCUGCGCCCUUUGGCUAUUUCGAAGGGCAUGCCUGUUUGAGUAUCAUGAACACCUCAACUUUCAUGGCUUGCCCUGAUGAGCUUGGACUUUGGGGGUCUUGCCGGCUUGUGAGUCGGCUCCUUUCAAAAGAAUCAGCUUGCCAGUGUUUGGUGGCAUCACAGGUGUGAUAACCAUUUACGCUUGUGGUUUUUCACCAGGUAACCUUUAGCAAAGGAGGUUCGGUGGAGCUCACAAUCAAUCUCUCCUCAAUGAGGACAGAUUUUGACCGUUGAUCUCAAAUCAGUAGAUGCCCCAUUCCU
rnacentral:rRNA from 1 species